GACAGAGGAUGCAAGCGUUAUCCGGAAUGAUUGGGCGUAAAGCGUCUGUAGGUGGCUUUUAAGUCUGCCGUCAAAUCCCAGGGCUUAACCCUGGACAGGCGGUGGAAACUACCAAGCUGGAGUACGGUAGGGGCAGGGGGAAUUUCCGGUGGAGCGGUGAAAUGGCGUAGAGAUCGGAAAGAACACCAACGGCGAAAGCACUCUGCUGGGCCGACACUGACACUGAGAGACGAAAGCUAGGGGAGCGAAUGGG
rnacentral:rRNA from 1 species